UACAGAGGUGGCAAGCGUUGUUCGGAAUUACUGGGCGUAAAGGGCGCGUAGGCGGCCUGCUAAGUCGGAUGUGAAAUCCCUCGGCUCAACCGAGGAACUGCAUCCGAUACUGGCGGGCUUGAAUCCGGGAGAGGGAUGUGGAAUUCCAGGUGUAGCGGUGAAAUGCGCAGAUAUCAGGAGGAACACCGGUGGCGAAGGCGGGUCUCUGGGCCGAUACUGACGCUGAGGAGCGAAAGCGUGGGGAGCGAACAGG
rnacentral:rRNA from 1 species